CCUACGGGUGGCAGCAGUCGAGAAUCAUUCACAAUGGGGGAAACCCUGAUGGUGCGACGCCGCGUGGGGGAAUGAAGGUCUUCGGAUUGUAAACCCCUGUCAUGUGGGAGCAAAUUAAAAAGAUAGUACCACAAGAGGAAGAGACGGCUAACUCUGUACCAGCAGCCGCGGUAAUACAGAGGUCUCAAGCGUUGUUCGGAAUCACUGGGUGUAAAUCGUGCGUAGGCUGUUUCGUAAGUCGUGGGUGAAAGGCGCGGGCUCAACCCGGGGACGGCAGAUGAUACGGCGAGACUAGAGUAAUGGAGGGGGAGGAGGAAUGUGCGGUGUAGCAGUGAAAUGCAUAGAUAUC
rnacentral:rRNA from 1 species